UGGGCUAUAGCCGAGCGGUAAGGCAACGGACUUUGACGCCGGCAGGCGCUGGUUCGAACCCAGCUAGCCCAGCCA
rnacentral:tRNA from 1 species